UACGGAGGGUGCAAGCGUUAUCCGGAUUCACUGGGUUUAAAGGGUGCGUAGGUGGGCAGGUAAGUCAGUGGUGAAAUCUCUGGGCUUAACCCAGAAACUGCCGUUGAUACUAUCUGUCUUGAAUAUAGUGGAGGUGAGCGGAAUAUGUCAUGUAGCGGUGAAAUGCUUAGAUAUGACAUAGAACACCCAUUGCGAAGGCAGCUCGCUACACUAUUAUUGACACUGAGGCACGGAAAGCGUGGGGAUCAAACAGG
rnacentral:rRNA from 1 species